CGAACGGGUGAGUAACGCGUGAGGAACCUGCCUCAAAGAGGGGGACAACAGUUGGAAACGACUGCCAAUACCGCAUAAGCCCACGGCUCGGCAUCGAGCAGAGGGAAAAGGAGCGAUCCGCUUUGAGAUGGCCUCGCGUCCGAUUAGCUAGUUGGUGAGGUAACGGCCCACCAAGGCGACGAUCGGUAGCCGGACUGAGAGGUUGAACGGCCACAUUGGGACUGAGACACGGCCCAG
rnacentral:rRNA from 1 species